CCUACGGGUGGCUGCAGUGGGGAAUAUUGCACAAUGGGCGCAAGCCUGAUGCAGCCAUGCCGCGUGUGUGAAGAAGGCCUUCGGGUUGUAAAGCACUUUCAGCGGGGAGGAAGGCGUUAAGGUUAAUAACCUUGGCGAUUGACGUUACCCGCAGAAGAAGCACCGGCUAACUCCGUGCCAGCAGCCGCGGUAAUACGGAGGGUGCAAGCGUUAAUCGGAAUUACUGGGCGUAAAGCGCACGCAGGCGGUCUGUCAAGUCGGAUGUGAAAUCCCCGGGCUCAACCUGGGAACUGCAUUCGAAACUGGCAGGCUAGAGUCUUGUAGAGGGGGGUAGAAUUCCAGGUGUAGCGGUGAAAUGCGUAGAGAUCUGGAGGAAUACCGGUGGCGAAGGCGGCCCCCUGGACAAAGACUGACGCUCAGGUGCGGAAGCGUGGGGAGCAAACAGGAUUAGAUACCCUUGUAGUC
rnacentral:rRNA from 1 species